CCUGAAUUUAACUGUUGACACAUAACACACCAUGUGCCCAGCAUCUUUGGGGAUGAAAUAAAUCUUUUUACAUUACUGCACACUACUCUGGGGUCUCCAACAUAAGAAGGACAUGGAUCUGCUGAACCUAAUCCAAAUCCAAAGGAAGGCCAAGAAGAUAAUCAGGAGGUACUGGAGCACCUCUGCUGUAACAGGAAUGAAGAAGAAAAAGGAAUAUGAGAUGUGAAGAUCUAAGACAUGGUGACAUCUUGAGAGACUUCAACGCAAAAAGACAAUUCAUACCAAAUAAAUGUGUAACUUAGGUUAUGUUUUUAUUUAGUUGAAAUGUUUUUAACUAUAGUGAGAUAAGAUGCCAUUCUUACAUUAGGUAAACAAUUUUUUCCCAAAGUUAGUAACUUCUUGUGCUACAGAAGAUUUUUCAAAGUCAGUUAAGCAUU